rnacentral:tRNA from 1 species
GGAGAGGUGACUGAGAGGCCUAAAGUAACAGGUUGCUAACCUGUGGCCGGGUAACCGGCCUCGUGGGUUCGAAUCCCACCCUCUCCG